GGAUGGGAAGGCAACAUGGCUGAGACAUCUGUCACCCCACUGAGCACCAGAGUCGAUUGGCUGAUCCAGACAGCUAAGCGGGUGUCCCCUUUCUCCCUCGCCACUCAUGUGUGUCCCUCCCUAAGCAGCUGCACUCUUGAUUGCUCAUCACUCAGUCAAAAAGAAUGGCUGCCCGGACAGAGGAGGACCUUUUCCUCCACUGAGGGUAUAUGAACAGCUGUGCUCCCAGCUAGAACCUCCAGACAGCCUCUCAAAUAUUACCUGUGACUGUAACAUUGUACUUGCAAAGUAGUAGUAACGCGGCGAGUGCUAGGAAGGGCAAACACACCAGCAUGCAUCCAAAGGAAACACCGUAGUAU
ensembl:misc_RNA 7SK 7SK RNA